CCUACGGGUGGCAGCAGUGGGGGAUAUUGCACAAUGGGCGGAAGCCUGAUGCAGCGACGCCGCGUGGGUGAAGUAGCGUUUCGGCGCGUAAAGCUCUAUCGGCAGGGAAGAAGGAGGACGGUACCUGACUAUGAAGCCCCGCCUAAAUACGUGCCAGCAGCCGCGGUAAUACGGAGGGGGCAAGCGUUAUCCGGAUUUACUGGGUGUAAAGGGGGCGCAGACGGGAGCGCACGCCAUGUGUGAAAGCACGGGGCCCAACCCCGAGACUGCGAUUGUAACUGGGCGGCUGGAGUGCAGGAGGGGCAGGCGGAAUUCGUGGUGUAGCGGUGAAAUGCGUAGAUAUCAGGAGGAACACCGGUGGCGAAGGCGGCCUGCUGGACUGCGACUGACGUUGAUGCCCGAAAGCGUGGGGAGCAAACAGGAUUAGAUACCCGUGUAGUC
rnacentral:rRNA from 1 species